rnacentral:rRNA from 1 species
UACGAAGGGGGGCUAGCGUUGCUUGGAAUCACUGGGCGUAAAGCGCACGUAGGCGGCUUUUUAAGUCAGGGGUGAAAUCCUGGAGCUCAACUCCAGAACUGCCUUUGAUACUGAAGAUCUUGAGUUCGGGAGAGGUGAGUGGAACUGCGAGUGUAGAGGUGAAAUUCGUAGAUAUUCGCAAGAACACCCGUGGCGAAAGCGGCUCUCUGGGACGGUACUGACGCUGAGACGCGAAAGCGUGGGGAGCAAACAGG